rnacentral:rRNA from 1 species
CUGAGUACGGCGGAACACGUGAAAUUCCGUCGGAAUCCGGGAGGACCAUCUCCCAAGGCUAAAUACUCCCUAGUGACCGAUAGUGAACCAGUACCGUGAGGGAAAGGUGAAAAGCACCCCGGAAGGGGAGUGAAACAGUUCCUGAAACCGUGUGCCUACAAGUAGUUAGAGCCCGUUAAUGGGUGAUAGCGUGCCUUUUGUAGAAUGAACCGGCGAGUUACGAUUUGUUGCAAGGUUAAGCGGAAAAAGCGGAGCCGUAGCGAAAGCGAGUCUGAAUAGGGCGCAUAAGUAACAGGUCGUAGACCCGAAACCAGGUGAUCUACCCAUGUCCAGGAUGAAGGUAAGGUAAUACUUACUGGAGGUCCGAACCCACGCACGUUGAAAAGUGCGGGGAUGAGGUGUGGGUAGCGGAGAAAUUCCAAUCGAACUUGGAGAUAGCUGGUUCUCUCCGAAAUAGCUUUAGGGCUAGCCUCGAGGUAAAGAGUCAUGGAGGUAGAGCACUGUUUGGACUAGGGGCCCUUCUCGGGUUACCGAAUUCAGAUAAACUCCGAAUGCCAUGUACUUAUACUCGGGAGUCAGACUGCGAGUGAUAAGAUCCGUAGUCGAAAGGGAAACAGCCCAGACCACCAGUUAAGGUCCCCAAAUAUAUGUUAAGUGGAAAAGGAUGUGGGGUUGCUUAGACAACCAGGAUGUUGGCUUAGAAGCAGCCACCAUUGAAAGAGUGCGUAAUAGCUCACUGGUCGAGUGACCCCGCGCCGAAAAUGUACCGGGGCUAAACAUAUUACCGAAACUGUGGAUGAACCUCUUUAGAGGUUCGUGGUAGGAGAGCGUUCUAAGGGCGGUGAAGUCAGACCGGAAGGACUGGUGGAGCGCUUAGAAGUGAGAAUGCCGGUAUGAGUAGCGAAAGAAGGGUGAGAAUCCCUUCCACCGAAUAUCUAAGGUUUCCUGAGGAAGGCUCGUCCGCUCAGGGUUAGUCGGGACCUAAGCCGAGGCCGAUAGGCGUAGGCGAUGGACAACAGGUAGAGAUUCCUGUACCAGUGCUAAUUGUUUAACCGAUGGGGUGACACAGAAGGAUAGGGAAUCGCACGAAUGGAAAUGUGCGUCCAAGCAGUGAGUGUGAGAAGUAGGCAAAUCCGCUUCUCGCGAAGCAUGAGCUGUGAUGGGGAAGGAAAUUAAGUACGGAAGUUCCUGAUUUCACGCUGUCAAGAAAAGCCUCUAGGAAGAGUAGUACUGCCCGUACCGCAAACCGACACAGGUAGAUGAGGAGAGAAUCCUAAGGUGAGCGAGAGAACUCUCGUUAAGGAACUCGGCAAAAUGACCCCGUAACUUCGGGA